CCCCCCGAAUUGUAGUCUAGAAAGGCGCCAUCGGCCGCGUCCGUCGCUCAAAUCCCUUGGAACAGGGUAUCGGAGAAGGUGAGAGUCCUGUACCGUGGCGGAUCGCGGCCGCACGAUGCGUUUUUGCAGAGUCGGGUUGCUUGGGAUUGCAGCUUGAAUUGGGUGGUAAAUUCCAUCUAAAGCUAAAUACUGGUUCAUGACCGAUAGCGAACAAGUACCGUGAGGGAAAGAUGCAAAGAACUUUGAAAAGAGAGUUAAAGAGUGCUUGAAAUCGGCAGGAGGAAACCCGUUUGUGCCUGGUUUCGUGUAGUCAAUUCAGCCGUUUCCAUCGGUGCACUUUGGCUGCGCGGGUCAGCCGCGAUUCUGAGUGUCUAAUACACGCCUGGGGGGCUUCGGUGAGCCAGGUUUUAAGCGCUCGGGAUUCCGGUUGACAGAACAGGCACAACCGACCCGUCUAGAAACACGGACCAAGGAGUCUGACACGGAUGCGAGUACCCGGGUGGCAAGCCCGCGUGCGCAAUGAAAGUAAAGGGCGUGCCCCGCCAACCGACCUUGAUCUUCUGUGAAGGGUUUGAGUCGAGCAUCACUGUCGGGACCCGAAAGAUGGUGAACUAUGCCUGAAUAGGUUGAAGUCUGCUGAAAGGCAGAUGGAGGGCCGUAGCGAUACUGACGUGCAAAUCGUUCGUCGAAUUUGGGUAUAGGGGCGAAAGACUAAUCGAACCAUCUAGUAGCUGGUUCCCUCCGAAGUUUCCCUCAGGAUAGCUUGGACGCAAGGGUUUUGU
rnacentral:rRNA from 1 species